rnacentral:rRNA from 1 species
CCCUUAGAUGUUCUGGGCCGCACGCGCGCUACACUGAUGCAUUCAACGAGUCUAAAACCUGCUCUGAUAGGGGUGGGUAAUCUUUUGAAUGUGCAUCGUGAUUGGGAUAGAUGAUUGCAAUUUUUCAUCUUCAACGAGGAAUGCCUAGUAAACGCAAGUCAUCAGCUUGCAUUGAUUAUGUCCCUGCCCUUUGUACACACCGCCCGUCGCUCCUACCGAUUGAAUGAUCCGAUGAAUAUCAUGGAUUGAGGAUGCAAGCAGGUUCGCCUGUCUUCAUCUUCGAGAAGUGAAGUAAAUCUUAUCAUUUAGAGGAAGGAGAAGUCGUAACA